UACAGAGGGGGCAAGCGUUAUUCGGAAUUAUUGGGCGUAAAGGGCGCGUAGGCGGCCUGGCAAGUGGAAGGUGAAAUCCCUCGGCUUAACCGAGGAACUGCCCUCCAAACUGCUUGGCUUGAGUCCGGGAGAGGUGAGUGGAAUUCCCAGUGUAGCGGUGAAAUGCGUAGAUAUUGGGAGGAACACCAGUGGCGAAGGCGGCUCACUGGACCGGAACUGACGCUGAGGCGCGAAAGCCAGGGGAGCGAACAGG
rnacentral:rRNA from 1 species